rnacentral:rRNA from 1 species
CCUACGGGGGGCUGCAGUAACGAAUAUUCCGCAAUGGGCGAAAGCCUGACGGAGCAAUGCCGCGUGUGGGAUGAAGCGGUUUCGCCGUGUAAACCACUGUCAGGAGAUAGAAAAGCUGAUCAUCUCCAGAGGAAGGGGCGACUAACUCUGUGCCAGCAGUCGCGGUAAUACAGAGGCCCCAAGCGUUAGUCGGAAUCACUGGGCUUAAAGGGUGCGUAGGCGGGCGUGUAAGUGUCUUGUGAAAGCCCCGGGCUCAACCCGGGAACCGCAGGGCA